CGUCAGCGGCGGCGGCCAUCGUUGCCGGAGAGAAUCACUCCUUGGGCGGCGGCAGCGUCAACCGGCAGCCGAGGAGGAGGAACCGCAUCCAGCGCCAUCAAAACCCGAAUAGAGCACGCAGGCAAGUAGUGGCGAUGCUAGGGGCCGUGGUGGUCAGCUUUUUCGUCUGUUUACUACCGUACCGGCUCCUGAGUCUGUUCCAGGAGUCGGAAAGUGUUAGUCCCGAAAUUUUCUACAUGAUGGUCAAUUUUUGUCGCGUCAUGGUCUACCUCAACUCGGCUAUCAAUCCGAUCUUGUAUAAUCUGAUGUCGUCCAAGUUCCGAAACGGCUUCUUGCGCCUCUUCGGCUUCAAGGGAUUCGCCCGCCAGGGCACCGUCACCAGCUCCUCGAUGGCCAACACCAACACGACCAGCACGACGAACACGACGUCGUCGUCGGCUGCCGUGGCGCAGGCCAACGCUUCGCUGGCCCAUCACGGCACCCUUUCUUUGCACCGACCGCUUCACUAUCGUCUGUCCAGCCAAAUGCAACCCAUCUAAAUUGAUAUAUAUUUUGCAAUGAAAUCAGACUUGCAAUUUCGUGAGAGAAGCAUCUCAUAUCAACCAACUAUUAGACGGAAUUUUUCUAUAUACGAACUCGACACUGCACUUCAAACUCAUUUUUCUUUUGAUUUCUACACAUCACAAACAGACGCUAGAUACUUUUCUCUCUCUCACUUGUUUAAUCCAUUUUUCUAUCCUUCCUCGCUUGACGAUCAAUUCUAAUUUGAUUUUUCGUGGAUUCAAUAUAUGUGUAUUGUAUAUUUAUAUCUGUGUAUAUUUGUAAAGUUGCCAUGCUGUGCUGGUGGAUGUACAACCGAUACUUUUGCUCAUAAUCAUACAUGAUCGCCGUUUUGUCGAUGACAGAGAACGUUUGAAUGAUUUGAUCGCGCCGCAAUUAUUGAAAAAGGACCCGAUGCGUUUUGUCUCGUCUUGUCAUUUAUAUAUACCUCCAAAACACGGUGUUACGUCUGGCUUAUUCUAUGAUAUACCUUCGUACUGGAAAUACUUAAAUUUAAAAAAAAACAAAAAAACAAACAGAUUUCACCCGUUAAUCAUUACCGUGUUUUGAGGGAGGGGGGCACAUAUAUUUCCCCGAGUGCUGUUUUGAUUAUAAUUAUCCAUUUCGUUCUCUGUGACGACUUUAAAAAAAUCACGCCGCUUUGAAGCAUCGUCACACCCCUUUCUGAUGGUUUGGGGAGCGACGAGCGUGUUUCGCAUCUACAAUACAUCUUCUAUAAUUUCCUACGAUAUGUGUACACGGCCCAACGUCAGAAAUUGUCUUUUUUUGCAUCAAUUAAUAUAUACACGAAACGGCGAAACGCAUCGACGUACACACAACUUCUCCUCAUGAUAACGUUCCUUCUCCGGGGGCUUUCAGAAGAAUCAGCUCACCAGUCACAAGCAUGUUUACAAAAAAGAAAAAGAAAAAAAAAGAAAGAAAAGAAAGAAGAGAUUGAAGAAGAAAGAAAAAAGAAUUAUUGUCCAAUAACAUCUUCCUUCAUGAAGACCAAAAGUCCCCUAAUAUAAAUUGUAUUUGUACAGUAAAUGUCAAUAAACUCCGGCAUAUUCCGCCAUGGGUUGCUAUACUA
rnacentral:lncRNA from 1 species